rnacentral:rRNA from 1 species
UACGUAGGGGGCAAGCGUUGUCCGGAUUUAUUGGGCGUAAAGAGCGUGUAGGCGGCCAGGUAGGUCUGCUGUGAAAACUCGAGGCUUAACCUCGAGCUGUCGGCGGAAACCAUCUGGCUAGAGUACUGGAGAGGAGACUGGAAUUUACGGUGUAGCAGUGAAAUGCGUAGAUAUCGUAAGGAAGGCCAGUGGCGAAGGCGAGUCUCUGGACAGUUACUGACGCUGAGGCACGAAGGCCAGGGGAGCAAACGGG